rnacentral:lncRNA from 1 species
CUGAAUUACAUGAAGAAUAGGAGAAAGGAUUGUCAAGGUACUGUUAUCAGAAGAAGAGAGAAUAGAUACAAAACCAAAAACUGAGCAUCGGGGCAGCUUCUUGCAUCUGUGGACAUGCCCAUUACUUCUUACUGUAAUAUCGUCAUCGCACGAAGUAAUGCUCUAUGUGUGUUUGUGGAAGAAAGGAAACGAGAAGCCAGUAGACAUGACCUGUCAGUGAUUAG